GGCUUGACGCUGUGAGACUCCAGGAGAGGGCAUUGGUGAAGGUGCAGCCUCACUAGCUGCUGAAGGCCCAGGACUGAAGGGGUCAUGAAAAGAAGUUGAGACUCGGCACCAUGAAGAGAUCCGAUGAGAGGCUAUUGGUGAAAGUGCAGCCCGGUUGCAGCAAGGGACCCCAGCCUUUUGGAAGUGCCAGCACCAUGGAAUGACCACCAAGACCAAUAGCAGCGGUGGAGUGGAGCCAGUGAGAGCUUUGAAGAUAAACUGUGUGCUACAAAGGCAGAGCAGGAAUAAGUGACCCAAGGCCUUUCGAGGAGUCUAGACAAUGGGAAUCCUGUUGACUAAGUGGUGGGUACCCAGGAGCCAGCAGCAAGCUCAGCACAGCCUGGAGUCUCUCUGGCUACAAAGGGGCUUUCUCCAGGACAGAAGACUUCAGCUCACUGGUGACCAAUGGAGAACUGUGAGAACAUAAUGACAACAAGGUUUCAACUGAAGGAGGAGAAAUGGAACAGAAAAAUGGGGGUUGAGAAGGAAGCUAUCUCCUGUUAUUCGCAAUAGUCACCAAAUGCACAUCUUCAAAACAUUCAUUCAGUACUUGGAUAUAAAGUUGCUUAAGCAUGCUUGUUAAGAAACCAAAUAUUUGUAUGCACUUUAUGGAAAUUAUGACAUUCAGAGCACUUCCUGUUGCCUGGGGUCAAGAUGUAAGAAUUCUCAGAUGUCUGCCUGCAAAUCACAAUGUUUUACCACAAUGAUAAUGGACUAAGUCUCAGAAAAUGUAAGUCAACCCAAUUAAAUGUUUAUUUUUGUUGUUUACAAGAGUUGCCAUGGUCAUGGUGUCUCUUCACGGCAACAGAAAACCUAAUGAAGACAAUGACUAUGCUAAGACUGAGAAUAGUUAAGUAACAUACCAAAUGAUCACAAACAUUUAAUAUGUAUAAUUAUCAGGAUGUGAAAUCUCUUGGGGAAAGUUGCUUUCAAAAUAGCUCUCAAUAGAAGACAUGGAAGAACAUAAGGAGAGAUAAAAUAAGAGGAUCUUUAUAACUAGGAUGGCUUGUCAAAAGCUUUCCAGUGAAAUUAUGACUAUCACUUUUUGAUAGCAAAGUCUUCAUUUAAAAUGAUGGACUUGAUAGAAAUACACUAGGUAAAGUUCAAGAAGAUUGUACAUUAUAUUAGAAAGGGGUAAAAGUCCAGAUGAGAAGAGAAGUUAUAGCAGGAAGGAUAUCGAGAAAGAAUUCUCACUGCAUCUCUUAUUUCUGUAUGCAGUCUCCAGGCUAAAGAGUGUAGACAAGGAUAUCACAUAAUUUUGACGAUACCACCACUGAGUUUAUGACUGGAAUUAUGGACGUAGAUUGCAGAUGAUAAAAAAAAUGAAGUUCAGUGACAUUCUUGAAGCAACCAUCAUCAAUCUGGAUGUUUUGUCUUAGGCCAUUUAAAUUCUUUUUGUGCCUGAUAGACUUAAGCUAAUUUUGCCUACAUUAUUAUGAGCAGAUGUUCAUAUCAUGUAUUAGCUAUGAUAAAUUGACUUUGUCCCUCUUUCUUUUCUAUUUUAAAGGAUUCUAAGAAGUAUUGACAAAACUUAACAAGUUUGUAAUAUACAACUGACUGAGUUUGCAGGUGGUAAUCCUAGUAUAAUGCAGUAAGAACCGACUCUAAUAUAAGCAUUUUUGGGUCAAACCUUCCUCACAGGAAGGAAUAUCUCCAUCAGGCACAGAAUUUUUGAAUCAUGAGUAUGUUAAUGUGUAUAAUGGCAACCACCUUCUCUACUGUUCAACAUAUGGGUAGAUCUUCUUUUAACCAAUCAGUAAUAUGGCAUAAACAAAUUAGAAGUGGUGUCAUAUGACUUCACAGUCAACUACCCAGGAUGUAAUUAGUUUGAUUUAAUCUGGAAAGCAAAUUCAUUAUUGCCAAGACAGUGAUUCAGGGCUCUGUGCUAAAUGAACUAAAUGUGAAUGUUUGACAGUCAAUUUGUACUGUGCACUUGUGUAAAAAGAAAAAAUACAUAUAAAGUAAAUACACAUGCAAAUUGUAAAAAUCUCUUUAAAAUUUCAAAAUUAGAACUCUUGGCAAAAAAAGCAAAUGGAUUUUGUAAUAAUAAUGAGAGCUGAACACUUACUCUAUGGAAAGUAGCUGUCCUUGUAGAUUGUCUGUCACCAUUAGUUCACAAUCUUCCUUGCUACAUUUAAGAGACUAAUGACUUGGGUACCUUGUGGAAUAACUUAAUGAAGUACACAUGUUUAAUGGAGGCACAAUCAUUACAAGUCCUAAGUAUUUUAGAAUCUCUUAUAGAAACUUUCCACUACCAAAUCUACUGUGAAAACGCGUGUAAAAAUUAAACAAAACGAAACCCCCAAAUUUCACAUUUCCAUAGUAAAACAUGACAAUAAAAAGUUCUUAUGUUUGUAAAGCUCCUCACAUUUUGGUUUUAUUCCUAUGUUGACACAUUUGAGUAUUGUUAUAUCAACUACAGCAUAGAUGAGGACAGAGAAUUAAAGAUUAAGCACCUUGCUUAUGGUCAUUCCAACCAAAACUAGAAAAAGGAAAUGGAAAAAUUUACUGGUUUGGGUAGAAUAAUUCCUAAAACAUCUUAUAAUGCUUAUUUUCUGUCAAGUAAAGUUUAUCCUAUGUUUAUUUUAUUUAAUCAUGUAGGAAUAUUUAUGAAAGAAACAUGUAAAUUCUGAGACAGAAAAUGGCUAAGGACAUCUUAAAGCAUAGGAGUCCUACAUUUCCUAAAUGUUGCUAAACUUCCAUAUUGCUUUUGAACACACAAGCUAUGCUCCCAAGAGGUUUCAUAAUUGGAAUAUGCAUGUAACAACAAUUAAUGAAAAUAGAGGCCAUGGAUUUAAAAGACCCUACAGAGGGUUAUAUGGGAGAAUGUGGAGGGAGGAAAGAGAAGGUAAGAAGGAUGUAAUUAUAUUGUAGUCUCAGAAAUAACUAGGAAAGAAAUAAAAGCUUUUAAUAUAGGCUUGAAACAGAAUUUAAAGACUGAUGGCACUUUGUAGAUCCUAAAUUGUAGAGGAUUUGCUUAUUCAGGGCAAACUAAAAUGUUUACAUAUAUAAAACAGGGAUGCAAGUCAUAUAAAAGCAGCCUUUCUAGGGGAUUUGAAGGCUAGCCCAUUAUAUCACCCUCAGGUAAUUACUUUAGAAACAAAACAUGAAAGGCAAUGUAAGAGUUAAGUUAACACAGCUUUGAGGGGAAAGUUAUAUUUCAUAUCAGGUAACUUGUGUGAUUUGAAUCCAAUGUUCUGAUGAUAUGAAACAACAAAACACUAGAAAAUUUGCUAGAAGGUACUUCAAGUCAACAGUUUCUAAGACUCUUUUAGUGUGACUCCUAUGACUUUGACAGGGAUUUUAUUCUAUAGCAAUAAGUCUAUGAAAAAUUGAUGGUGUAUUACUAUAACUUCUAAAAUACUGUCAUUUAAAAUACAAAAUUAAUUGUGUUGGAUUAGAACUCAAAAAAAGACUUUCUGUAGAGAUUUAUAAAAUAUUCUAUGGUGGUGUAUCUAUUUAAAGAUUGUGGCUUUAAAAUAUGCUUGGAACAUUGUAGAAAAUAUUUUGGGAAACUAGAUAAAGGAAUAAAUAAAGUUCUGUUGAGAA